UACAGAGGGGGCAAGCGUUGUUCGGAAUUACUGGGCGUAAAGGGCGCGUAGGCGGCCUUCUAAGUCGAACGUGAAAUCCCUGGGCUCAACCCAGAACUGCGUCCGAUACUGGAAGGCUUGAAUCCGGGAGAGGGAUGCGGAAUUCCAGGUGUAGCGGUGAAAUGCGUAGAUAUCUGGAGGAACACCGGUGGCGAAGGCGGCAUCCUGGACCGGUAUUGACGCUGAGGCGCGAAAGCCAGGGGAGCAAAGCGGG
rnacentral:rRNA from 1 species